rnacentral:rRNA from 1 species
UGCAGUCGAACGCGUGUAGCAAUACACGAGUGGCGCACGGGUGAGUAACGCGUGGAUAUCUGCCUUUUGGUUCGGAAUAACUCCGGGAAACUGGAGCUAAUACCGGAUGGUUCCUACGGGAUAAAGAUUUAUCGCCAAAAGAUGAGUCCGCGUACGAUUAGCUAGUUGGUGAGGUAAUGGCUCACCAAGGCGACGAUCGUUAGCUGGUCUGAGAGGACGAUCAGCCACACUGGGACUGAGACACGGCCCAGACUCAUACGGGAGGCAGCAGUGGGGAAUAUUGGACAAUGGGGGCAACCCUGAUCCAGCCAUGCCGCGUGAGUGAUGAAGGCCUUCGGGUUGUAAAGCUCUUUUGGCGGGGACGAUGAUGACGGUACCCGCAGAAUAAGCCCCGGCUAACUUCGUGCCAGCAGCCGCGGUAAGACGAAGGGGGCUAGCGUUGUUCGGAAUUACUGGGCGUAAAGCGAGUGUAGGUGGUUGUCAUAGUCAGGUGUGAAAGCCUUGAGCUCAACUCAAGAAAUGCACUUGAUACUGGGCGACUAGAGGACCGGAGAGGAUAGUGGAAUUCCCAGUGUAGUGGUGAAAUACGUAGAGAUUGGGAAGAACACCAGUGGCGAAGGCGGCUAUCUGGACGGUUUCUGACACUAAGA